rnacentral:rRNA from 1 species
GUAGGUGGCAAGCGUUGUCCGGAUUUACUGGGCGUAAAGCGCGCGCAGGCGGCUUGCCAAGUCUGGGGUGAAAUCUCCCGGCUCAACCGGGAUAGGUCUCCAGAUACUGGCAGGCUUGAGGGGAGCAGAGGAGAGUGGAAUUCUCGGUGUAGCGGUGAUAUGCGUAGAUAUCGAGAGGAACACCAGUGGCGAAGGCGGCUCUCUGGGCUCCAUCUGACGCUGAGGCGCGAAAGCGUGGGGAGCGAACCGGAUUAGAUACCCGGGUAGUCCACGCCCGUAAACGUUGGGCACUAGGUGUGGGGGGUAUUGACCCCCCCCCCUCCGUGCCGUAGCUAACGCAUUAAGUGCCCCCGCCUGGGGAGUACGGCCGCAAGGCUA